rnacentral:rRNA from 1 species
AGUCGUAACAAGGUUUCCGUAGGUGAACCUGCGGAAGGAUCAUUAAAGAAAUUUAAUAAUUUUGAAAAUGGAUUUUUUUGUUUUGGCAAGAGCAUGAGAGCUUUUACUGGGCAAGAAGACAAGAGAUGGAGAGUCCAGCCGGGCCUGCGCUUAAGUGCGCGGUCUUGCUAGGCUUGUAAGUUUCUUUCUUGCUAUUCCAAACGGUGAGAGAUUUCUGUGCUUUUGUUAUAGGACAAUUAAAACCGUUUCAAUACAACACACUGUGGAGUUUUCAUAUCUUUGCAACUUUUUCUUUGGGCAUUCGAGCAAUCGGGGCCCAGAGGUAACAAACACAAACAAUUUUAUCUAUUCAUUAAAUUUUUGUCAAAAACAAGAAUUUUCGUAACUGGAAAUUUUAAAAUAUUAAAAACUUUCAACAACGGAUCUCUUGGUUCUCGCAUCGAUGAAGAACGCAGCGAAAUGCGAUACGUAAUGUGAAUUGCAGAAUUCCGUGAAUCAUCGAAUCUUUGAACGCACAUUGCGCCCCUUGGUAUUCCAGGGGGCAUGCCUGUUUGAGCGUCAUUUCCUUCUCAAACAUUCUGUUUGGUAGUGAGUGAUACUCUUUGGAGUUAACUUGAAAUUGCUGGCCUUUUCAUUGGAUGUUUUUUUUCCAAAGAGAGGUUUCCCUGCGUGCUUGAGGUAUAAUGCAAGUACGGUCGUUUUAGGUUUUACCAACUGCGGCUAAUCUUUUUUUAUACUGAGCGUAUUGGAACGUUAUCGAUAAGAAGAGAGCGUCUAGGCGAACAAUGUUCUUANAGUUUGACCUCAAAUCAGGUAGGAGUACCCGCUGAACUUAAGCAUAUCAAUA